rnacentral:rRNA from 1 species
UACGUAGGGUGCGAGCGUUGUCCGGAAUUAUUGGGCGUAAAGAGCUCGUAGGCGGUCUGUCGCGUCGAUCGUGAAAACUUGGGGCUUAACCCUGAGCUUGCGGUCGAUACGGGCAUGACUGGAGUUCGGCAGGGGAGACUGGAAUUCCUGGUGUAGCGGUGAAAUGCGCAGAUAUCAGGAGGAACACCGGUGGCGAAGGCAGAUCUCUGGGCCGUAACUGACGCUGAGGAGCGAAAGCGUGGGGAGCAAACAGG